rnacentral:rRNA from 1 species
UACGUAGGCAGCGAGCGUUGUUCGGAGUUACUGGGCGUAAAGGGUGUGUAGGCGGUUGUUUAAGUUUGGUGUGAAAUCUCCCGGCUCAACUGGGAGGGUGCGCCGAAUACUGAGUGACUAGAGUGCGGGAGAAGAAAGUGGAAUUCCUGGUGUAGCGGUGAAAUGCGUAGAUAUCAGGAGGAACACCGGUGGUGUAGACGGCUUUCUGGACCGUAACUGACGCUGAACACGAAAGCGUGGGUAGCAAACAGG